rnacentral:rRNA from 1 species
CAGUCGCCGCGGUAAUACGGAGGGAGCUAGCGUUGUUCGGAAUUACUGGGCGUAAAGCGCACGUAGGCGGUUAUUCAAGUCAGAGGUGAAAGCCCGGGGCUCAACCCCGGAACUGCCUUUGAAACUAGAUGACUAGAAUCUUGGAGAGGUCAGUGGGAUUCCGAGUGUAGAGGUGAAAUUCGUAGAUAUUCGGAAGAACACCAGUGGCGAAGGCGACUGACUGGACAAGUACUAACGCUGAGGAGCGAAAGCGUGGGGAGCGAACAGGAUUAGAUACCCCUGUAGUCCCUGUCUCUUAUAC